UACGGAGGGUGCAAGCGUUGUUCGGAAUUAUUGGGCGUAAAGGGCAGGUAGGUGGUCCCAAAAGUCUACUGUGAAAUCCCCGGGCUUAACUCGGGAAGUGCGGUAGAUACUCUGGGACUAGAGUGCUGGAGGGGUUCGUGGAAUUCCCGGUGUAGCGGUGAAAUGCGUAGAUAUCAGGAAGAACACCCGUGGCUAAGGCGGCUCUCUGGGCCUUGCCUGACGCUGAGGCGCGAAAGCUAGGGGAGCGAACAGG
rnacentral:rRNA from 1 species